rnacentral:rRNA from 1 species
UACGUAGGCAGCAAGCGUUGUUCGGAGUUACUGGGCGUAAAGGGCGUGUAGGCGGCCUGUUAAGUUCCGUGUGAAAUCUCCCGGCUCAACCGGGAGGGUGCGCGGAAAACUGGCGGGCUAGAGUGCGGGAUGGGAGAGUAGAAUUCCUGGUGUAGCGGUGAAAUGCGUAGAUAUCAGGAGGAAUACCGGUGGUGUAGACGGCUCUCUGGACCGCAACUGACGCUGAAGCACGAAAGCGUGGGUAGCAAACAGG